CAUAGCGACUAUCGUGGCAUAUCAAUAAGCGGAGGAAAAGAAACUAACAAGGAUUCCCUUAGUAACGGCGAGUGAAGCGGGAAGAGCUCAAAUUUGAAAUCUUCAAGGUUCUACCUUGACGAAUUGUAGUUUAUAGAAGUGUUUUCUGUUAGUAGAGUUGGUAAAAGUUCUUUGGAAUAGGACAUCAUAGAGGGUGAGAAUCCCGUAUUUGGUCCAUUAUUUUCUAGCUUUGUGAUACACUUUCAACGAGUCGGAUUGUUUGGGAAUGCAGUCCAAAAUGGGUGGUAAAUUUCAUCUAAAGCUAAAUAUUGGCGAGAGACCGAUAGCGAACAAGUACCGUGAGGGAAAGAUGAAAAGAACUUUGAAAAGAGAGUUAAACAGUACGUGAAAUUGUCAAAAGGGAAGCGUUUGACACCAGUGUUGUUUUCUCGAAAAUCAAUUAAAAAUGAUGCGGAUUUUGUGUUGUAUUGACCUUAUCAGCUUUCUGCACUUUUUUCUUAUCUUUUUUAAUGCACUUUUCGUUUAACAAGUCAACAUCAAUUUCUUUUGCUGUAAAAGGGUCAUUGGAAGGUGGCUUUCUUUUCGGAGAAAGUGUUUAUAGCCUUUGAUCUCUGCAAGUCGGAGAGAUUGAGGUCUGCAGCGUAGACUCCUUCGGGGUUAGAUACAUUUGUGCUAAGCUAUAGCCUUUUCAUAGACAACUUGUUGACUAUGAUUCAGUCAUUGUAGCUUACUCGCUUAUGCUAUUUUACCUACGCUUAGGAUGUUGAUAGUCACAGCGUGUA
rnacentral:rRNA from 1 species